UGAGAUUAUUGCCUUAAAUGUAUACCUGUC
rnacentral:piRNA from 1 species